ACGGGUGAGUAACGCGUGGGAAUCUACCUAGUUCUACGGAACAACAGAGGGAAACUUCUGCUAAUACCGUAUACGCCCUACGGGGGAAAGAUUUAUCGGAAUUAGAUGAGCCCGCGUAAGAUUAGCUAGUUGGUGGGGUAAUGGCCUACCAAGGCGACGAUCUUUAGCUGGUCUGAGAGGAUGAUCAGCCACACUGGGACUGAGACACGGCCCAGACUCCUACGGGAGGCAGCAGUGGGGAAUAUUGGACAAUGGGCGCAAGCCUGAUCCAGCCAUGCCGCGUGAGUGAUGAAGGCCUUAGGGUUGUAAAGCUCUUUCAGUGGGGAAGAUAAUGACGGUACCCACAGAAGAAGCCCCGGCUAACUUCGUGCCAGCAGCCGCGGUAAUACGAAGGGGGCUAGCGUUGUUCGGGUUUACUGGGCGUAAAGCGCACGUAGGCGGAUUGGUCAGUUAGAGGUGAAAUCCCGAAGCUCAACUUCGGAACUGCCUUUAAUACUGCCAAUCUAGAGUCCGGAAGAGGUGAGUGGAACUCCUAGUGUAGAGGUGGAAUUCGUAGA
rnacentral:rRNA from 1 species